rnacentral:rRNA from 1 species
UACGUAGGGGGCAAGCGUUGUCCGGAUUUAUUGGGCGUAAAGAGUGUGUAGGCGGUGCUCUAAGUUUGGUGUGAAAUCUCCCGGCUCAACUGGGAGGGUGCGCCGAAAACUGGAAUGCUUGAACAUGGGAGAGGAAAGCGGAAUUCCUGGUGUAGCGGUGAAAUGCGUAGAUAUCAGGAGGAACACCUGCGGUGUAGACGGCUUUCUGGACCAUUGUUGACGCUGAGACACGAAAGCGUGGGUAGCAAACAGG